rnacentral:rRNA from 1 species
GGAUAACCUACCCUUAGGACCGGGAUAACCCUGGGAAACUGGGGAUAAUACUGGAUAGGCAAUUUUUCCUGUAAUGGUUUUUUGUUUAAAUGUUUUUUCGCCUAAGGAUGGGUCUGCGGCCGAUUAGGUAGUUGGUUAGGUAAUGGCUUACCAAGCCGUUGAUCGGUACGGGUUGUGAGAGCAAGAGCCCGGAGAUGGAACCUGAGACAAGGUUCCAGGCCCUACGGGGUGCAGCAGGCGCGAAACCUCCGCAAUGUGAGAAAUCGCGACGGGGGGAUCCCAAGUGCCAUUCUUAACGGGAUGGCUUUUCAUUAGUGUAAAGAGCUUUUGGAAUAAGAGCUGGGCAAGACCGGUGCCAGCCGCCGCGGUAACACCGGCAGCUCUAGUGGUAGCAAUUUUUAUUGGGCCUAAAGCGUCCGUAGCCGGUUUAAUAAGUCUCUGGUGAAAUCCUGCAGCUUAACUGUGGGAAUUGCUGGAGAUACUAUUAGACUUGAGACCGGGAGAGGUUAGAGGUACUCCCAGGGUAGAGGUGAAAUUCUGUAAUCCUGGGAGGACCGCCUGUUGCGAAGGCGUCUAGCUGGAACGGUUCUGACGGUGAGGGACGAAAGUUAGGGGCGCGAACCGGAUUAGAUACCCGGGUAGUCCUAACUGUAAACGAUGCGGACUUGGUGUUGGGGUGGCUUUGAGCUGCUUCAGUG